rnacentral:rRNA from 21 species
CGCCUUUAGAAAAAAGAUUAAAGGUUCUGCCUGCCCAGUGACCCAUAGUUAAACGGCUGCAGUAUUACUGACUGUGCAAAGGUAGCAUAAUCAUUCGCCUAUUAAUUGUAGGCUAGUAUCAACGGCUAGACGAUAAAGAUGCUGUCUCUCUUUACUAUAUUUGAAUUUUAUGUUAAGGUGAAGAAACCUUAAUUAAUUAGUGGGACGAGAAGACCCUAUAGAGUUUUACCUGGCGUUGUUAAACAUUGUAACAAGUUGGGUUUGGUUGGGGCAACCUCCCCUUUUAUAAGACAGGGGAUCAAAAAUAAGACUUGAGACUAUAGACCCAGAAUUAUUCUGAGCAAAAGAAAAAGUUACCUUAGGGAUAACAGCGUAAUUCUUUUUGAGAGUACUUAUUGACAAAAGAGCUUGCGACCUCGAUGUUGGAUCAGAGGCGCCUGGAGGUGCAGCAGCUUCCUAGGGCUGGUUUGUUCAACCAUUAAAUUUCU